rnacentral:rRNA from 1 species
GGGGAAUUUUGCGCAAUGGGGGAAACCCUGACGCAGCAACGCCGCGUGAGUGAUGAAGGCUUUCGGGUCGUAAAGCUCUGUCUAGAGGGAAGAAAUGAUAAUCGGUUAAUACCCGGUUUUCUUGACGGUACCUCUGAAGGAAGCACCGGCUAACUCCGUGCCAGCAGCCGCGGUAAUACGGAGGGUGCAAGCGUUGUUCGGAUUUAUUGGGCGUAAAGCGCGUGUAGGCGGUUUGUUAAGUCUGAUGUGAAAGCCCCGGGCUCAACCUGGGAAGUGCAUUGGAAACUGGCAGACUUGAAUACGGGAGAGGGUAGUGGAAUUCCUAGUGUAGGAGUGAAAUCCGUAGAUAUUAGGAGGAACACCGGUGGCGAAGGCGGCUACCUGGACCGAUAUUGACGCUGAGACGCGAAAGCGUGGGGAGCAAACA